UACGUAGGGUCCGAGCGUUGUCCGGAAUUAUUGGGCGUAAAGGGCUCGUAGGCGGUCCGUCACGUCGGGAGUGAAAACUCGGAGCUCAACUCCGAGCCUGCUUCCGAUACGGGCAGACUAGAGGUAGGCAGGGGAGAGCGGAACUCCUGGUGUAGCGGUGGAAUGCGCAGAUAUCGGGAAGAACACCCGCGGCGAAGGCGGCUCUCUGGGACGGUACUGACGCUGAGACGCGAAAGCGUGGGGAGCGAACAGG
rnacentral:rRNA from 1 species